rnacentral:tRNA from 1 species
CCUUGGGUGGUGCAAAAAGUUAACACAUUCGGCUGCUAACCAAAUUGUUGGUGGUUCAAAUCCACCCAGAAGCA